CUUAAAAAAGUAGUGAACGUCGAACGAGGCGCAUAGGUGGGUCCUACGAUUGGUUGGGUAUCGGAUGAAGCGGAUGGACAGGCGACGAGAGGGUGAAUCGUUGGUACGAAGGACGAGCCGCGGAGAGGGACGAAAAAGGAGGCUGUGCAACGAGUUAGAGGAGCACGUCGGACAAGUGGUUGGAAUAUAAAAAAGAACAGGAAUUCUCGCCGCUCGGACCACCAGUUCCGGCUUACGAGAGAAAUUUCGCGGCGGAGAUCCGUGAGAGACAGAAGAGAUAAAAUCAGCUGGAAAUCGCCCUCGCCAGAGAACAUCCGUCAAAUUCUAACAGUCGCGGCAUCGAUGUUGUUUCGUCUGACAAAAUAUACCAUCGCUCUUUUAAUUUACAUUUUACAAAAAUAGAAGUUAAAUAUAAAAUUCAACGAUGUACGAAAAACUAAGCCGUAAUGAAGUAGUACAUAGUAGAGUUAGGGACAAUAGUACGAAUAACAAUAGGACACUAGGUGUUUAGCAGUAGGUCGAUAGUUUAAUAAGAAAGGUAAUAAUGAAAAAGAUCGUUAGCUAUAAUUAUAGUGUAAAUAUGGUUAAGCAUAUAUCGUAAACAAGUAGAAUGUAAAUCGGGAGCCAUCCUAAGGCGCAAAGCAGGGAUUAAAAAUAAAUAAAUAAAUAAAGAAUACUUUAUUAACA